GUUUGAUCCUGGCUCAGGAUGAACGCUGGCGGCGUGCUUAACACAUGCAAGUCGAACGAUCCUUCGGGAUAGUGGCGGACGGGUGAGUAACGCGUGGGAAUCUGCCCUCAGGAGGGGGAUAACGGCUGGAAACGGCCGCUAAUACCCCAUAUGCCGAGAGGUGAAACGAAUUUCGCCUGAGGAUGAGCCCGCGUCUGAUUAGCUAGUUGGUGGGGUAAAGGCCCACCAAGGCGACGAUCAGUAGCUGGUCUGAGAGGAUGAUCAGCCACACUGGGACUGAGACACGGCCCAGACUCCUACGGGAGGCAGCAGUGGGGAAUUUUCCGCAAUGGGCGAAAGCCUGACGGAGCAACGCCGCGUGAGGGAUGAAGGCCUCUGGGCUGUAAACCUCUUUUCUCAAGGAAGAAGACCUGACGGUACUUGAGGAAUAAGCCACGGCUAAUUCCGUGCCAGCAGCCGCGGUAAUACGGGAGUGGCAAGCGUUAUCCGGAAUUAUUGGGCGUAAAGCGUCCGCAGGCGGCCUUGUAAGUCUGUUGUUAAAGCGUGGAGCUUAACUCCAUUUAAGCAAUGGAAACUACAAGGCUGGAGUGUGGUAGGGGCAGAGGGAAUUCCCGGUGUAGCGGUGAAAUGCGUAGAUAUCGGGAAGAACACCAGUGGCGAAGGCGCUCUGCUGGGCCAUAACUGACGCUCAUGGACGAAAGCCAGGGGAGCGAAAGGGAUUAGAUACCCCUGUAGUCCUGGCCGUAAACGAUGAACACUAGGUGUCGGGGGAAUCGACCCCCUCGGUGUCGUAGCCAACGCGUUAAGUGUUCCGCCUGGGGAGUACGCACGCAAGUGUGAAACUCAAAGGAAUUGACGGGGGCCCGCACAAGCGGUGGAGUAUGUGGUUUAAUUCGAUGCAACGCGAAGAACCUUACCAGGGUUUGACAUCCUGCGAACCCCUGAGAAAUCGGGGGGUGCCUUCGGGAGCGCAGAGACAGGUGGUGCAUGGCUGUCGUCAGCUCGUGUCGUGAGAUGUUGGGUUAAGUCCCGCAACGAGCGCAACCCACGUCUUUAGUCCCAGCAUUCAGUUGGGCACUCUAGAGAGACCGCCGGUGAUAAACCGGAGGAAGGUGUGGAUGACGUCAAGUCAUCAUGCCCCUUACAUCCUGGGCUACACACGUACUACAAUGCUACGGACAAAGGGCAGCAAGCUCGCGAGAGUUAGCAAAUCCCAUAAACCGUGGCUCAGUUCAGAUCGUAGGCUGCAACUCGCCUACGUGAAGGAGGAAUCGCUAGUAAUCGCAGGUCAGCAUACUGCGGUGAAUACGUUCCCGGGCCUUGUACAC
rnacentral:rRNA from 1 species